UUCCACCACGAAAAAUUCAUACACGAUGGAGCAUUUGUACAGUUAUGCUCUUGAACUGUACAAAUGCUCCAUCGUGUAUGAAUUUUUCGUGGUGGAAAAAA
rnacentral:pre_miRNA from 1 species